GUUGAGUCAUCUGAUGAAAUAGAUUGUCUCUCAAUCUGCUUACUCCCAGCAAUUUCUACAAACGAUGCGAACAGAUAAGAUUGCAUCUUCCCCAUCGUUUUGGCAUGCAAACCAACGUGGAUGACCUUGGACGAGUCGCUCUUUUCAUUUACUAUUUGAUGAUUGCUGCUCGGUCAGCGUGGAGGGUAGAAAGAGAAAUAGGGUCGGACGUUUGGUGAAAAAGAGCGACGACAAAUAUUGGCCCAUCACAGAGCACUCCGAUUGAUGCAGCGAUAGGUCAAUUUUUGUUUAAA
ensembl:ncRNA C54D2.14 ncRNA